CAGCCGCCGCGGUAAUACGAAGGGGGCUAGCGUUGCUCGGAAUCACUGGGCGUAAAGGGCGCGUAGGCGGCCGAUCAAGUCGGGGGUGAAAGCCUGUGGCUCAACCACAGAAUUGCCUUCGAUACUGUUCGGCUCGAGACCGGAAGAGGUAAGUGGAACUGCGAGUGUAGAGGUGAAAUUCGUAGAUAUUCGCAAGAACACCAGUGGCGAAGGCGGCUUACUGGUCCGGUUCUGACGCUGAGGCGCGAAAGCGUGGGGAGCAAACAGGAUUAGAUACCCUGGUAGUCCACGCCGUAAACGAUGGAUGCUAGCCGUUGGCGGGUUUACUCGUCAGUGGCGCAGCUAACGCUUUAAGCAUCCCGCCUGGGGAGUACGGUCGCAAGAUUAAAACUCAAAGGAAUUGACGG
rnacentral:rRNA from 1 species